rnacentral:rRNA from 1 species
GACCCGUCUUGAAGCACGGACCAAGGAGUCUAACAUGUGCGCGAGUCGCUCGGUCUUGAACAGGCCUGAGAGGCGCAAUGAAAGUAAAGUUGAUUGAGUUACGAUCCUCACGCCGGUCAUCCGCGUUCGCGCGUGGGUGACGGUGGGGCGCAGUAGCAGCCCGCCAAUUUCGCUUAUUGUCGAUCUGGCGGAGUUGUAGCGUACACGUUGGUACCCGAAAGAUGGUGAACUAUGCCUGGGCAAGACGAAGCCAGAGGAAACUCUGGUGGAGGUCUGUAGCGAUUCUGACGUGCAAAUCGAUCGUCAGACCUGGGUAUAGGGGCGAAAGACUAAUCGAACCAUCUAGUAGCUGGUUCCCUCUGAAGUUUCCCUCAGGAUAGCAGACACUCGGUGAGAUCAGUCUCAUCCGGUAAAGCGAAUGAUUAGAGGCAUUGGGGUCGAAACGACCUCAACCUAUUCUCAAACUUUAAAUGGGUGAGAAGUAUGACUUGUUUGAUUAAAGCCAUACUCGUUCGGAUGUAUGAGUGCCUAGUGGGCCAUUUUUGGUAAGCAGAACUGGCGCUGUGGG